rnacentral:lncRNA from 1 species
AUUAAACAAACUUUGACAGUAACAACAUGACUUGAACUAGAAAGUCCUCCAGCCAAACUACAGGGCUUUUAAAAUCUAAGGCUACUUUUGCCAAUGAGUGAGCUACUACAUUACAGUUUCUAGGAACGAAUUGAAUUGAUGCUCUGCUCUGGUUCUUUAGACAUGCUUGUAUCUCUUCCACUGCCCAGCAAGUUUCCGCCAUGCUGUUCUUCCUUUGCAGUGAUAGCUUUACCACUUCUAAAGAAUCUGACUCUAUGAUGAUUGGAUCACAUUUUCCUUGGCAGGCAACUUGAAUUCCAAAC